CUUGUUUUCCUUGGGAGGCACUUCAAUCAUUUUUUCAUUACUGCUGUCUUUGUCCAUAUUAAUAACCACUUUUUAUUAUUACUCCUCAGUCUGCCUGACUGAUUGGAGCACACAAUUGUGGUAAGAACAGUAACCAGGCAUGGUUUAAGCAGUCAUGGUUGAAACAGAAAUUCUGUAGGGGCUGGAGCGCAUGCAGGAGUGUGUGUUUAGUCAUGCCUGACUCUUUGUGACCCUACAGUCUGUGACCCGCCAGGCUCCUCUGUCUAUGGGGCUCUCCAGGCAAGAAUACUGGGGUGUAUUGUCAUUCCCUUCUCUAGGGGAUCUUCCUGACCCAGGGAUUGAACUCACGUCUCCUGCAUUUCCUGCAUUGGCAGGCAUCACAUCCAAGCCUCUCCCGGAAGUGUGGACAUUUUCCAAACCCCUCCAAUGCACAGUCCUGAUUCCUUAUCACCUGGGCCUCACCUUCAGGUAUGGAUCACCUUUGCAUGGUCAAUGCCACCUAGUCCCUGCUGCCAAGAGCUUUGUGGGCUCUUUUGGGGCUUGAUACCUACUGACCUUCACCUUCUCUUGUUUUGGCAGUCUCCCUCCUGGACUCCCCAAACUCGAUCAGUUCAGUUCAGUUCAGUUCAGUUGCUCAGUCGUGUCUGACUCUUUGCAACUCCAUGAACUGCAGCACGCCAGGCCUCCCUGUCCAUCACUAACUCCCGGAGUUUACCCAAACUCAUGUCCGUUGAGUCAGUGAUACCAUCUAACCAUCUCAUCCUCUGUCGUCCUCUUCUCCUCCUGCCUUCAAUCUUUCCCAACAUCAGGGUCUUUUCAAAUGAGUCAGCUCUUCGCAUCAGGUGGCCAAAGUAUUGGAGUUUCAGCUUCAACAAAACCCGAUAGUCUGCCCUAAAUCUCUCCUUCCUCUGCUGCAAAUGAGCUGGUGGUGGCAGAGCCCAUUGCUCUGUACUCCUUCUCACUCUGAACACCUCUGCUCACUUGCUGAAAAUCCAGCCAAGCAGCCCCUCCUUCAUGAGUGCAAAGAGAAACUCAACAUAAUUAGGAACAAACUAGGGAUCUCUGUGAUUCCAAGACAGCCUAGUGCUCAUGAGCCCUUAGAAGAGGAAACAUUUAUGAUAAGAGCUGGAAUUAAAGUAUUUUCUCUAGCGCAUAACUAUGUGUUGACUCUUUUCAAAGAAGCAGGUUAAGGAGCAAAGAACUGAGUUUCCAUUUUAACUACUGUUUUGCAAUGGUGCAAAACAUUUUCCAAACUUUUUUUUAGAGUAAUACAAUGGCUCCUCUCACAAUGGUCUGCAGCAUUUAGUUUUCAUUCAUAUGACUGUUACUCGUGAAUUUUAAUGAUGGAAGAAAUCACAAUGGUAAGGAAAGGUAGGUCAGGUGAAUAUAUUUAUUUCAGUAUCUAAAAAAUUUAAGUUUUUAAAAGCAGUGAAUUGUUGGGUUGGCCUAGAACCUGGAUUGGGGGGGGGUCCUCUGAUGACCAAGUACACAUCUAUUUCCCUGAUCCCCAGGCUGCACAGUGACCUUGGUGAGUCCCUCAAUCACUUUAGGACCUCACUCCCUCUUCAGUAAAUGAGGUGGAUGACACCUGCCUUUCUGAUUUCCCAAGGUAACUAUAAAGAUACAGUGAAAUGGCUGCAAAUCAUAAAACACUAGACCAAACAUAAAUCACAGUUGCGAUGUUAAAUCAUGUCUCAAAUGUCAUGACUUCAUCUUCAGGACCUUUCCACAGGGGAAAUCUGAGACAGCGGCUCUAUUGCCUGUUUCUCUUCAGUCCUGGAACCUGCCCACCUGCAUCGCCUCCUUCAGUUCUGCUGACAUGAUUUCAUGACCUCCCACUGCUGGGUGACAUUAUAGAUUUCUCCCUACAUUCUCCACUAUGUGCUUGAGAGUAUUUUCAUCUGUCUCAGGGGCUCUGAGCCUCACUGUUUGCUCCUCAUUCCUGCCUCCUUCCUGCUUCUGAGAGGCUUUGUCUGUGACCCUGGUCUCUGCUACGCUCCCCAGCCUUUUCAUUCAUGGGCUUGCUGGGCCCAUCUCCUCUGAUGCGCCUCUUCUCCUCAGUGGGUUCCUGUUAUCUCAGCUGCUUGGGAUGCUUGUGUGACUUCCCUGACCCAGGACAGGAUCCACCUGCCUCCUUUCCUCUCCCAUGCUGAUGAGAACCCCCCUUUUAUACUGCUGGCAAUGCAUCCCAGCCAAAGCCCAGCAGGCCAAAGCUACAGACUGCCCAGUGAAGAGGGGGUCCUGUCUCUUCCUCCCUGCACCUCUGUUCAGGGAAACCACUAGGAAGAAAAAGUUCUUCCUCCCUUUUCUUUCCAAUUUAACCCACUAGUGUGCUGGGAGAGAGAGCAGGCCUUCACCUGUAGAAGGAAUGAAAUGAAACCCCAGGCUGUACCUUCCUUUGUGGAAGACUGAGAGAGUCAAUGUUAGAAAGGAAUUUGGGGAGCAUCUUGUCCAGGCACCUCAUUCCAUGGGUGAGAAAGCAGAGACAGGAAGAGAAAUGGCCUGCAUGAGGGCAAGAUGCCAGGCCUGUAUCCAAGAUGAUUAACAUAUGGUUCCUGUCCUGAGCUGGACAUGUUUACUGUGUUG
ensembl:lncRNA